CUGCGCUGCAUCGACAAAUGGCGCCGGUCAGUUGAGUGGCGAUCUCCGACAUGUCUGGACGCAGUGACAGCCGUCUGAGCCCAGCACAGUCCCUCAUGCUGACAAUGUAUGGCGGUAACGAGCCAAGCCCACUAUCGCCUGUGGACGCAGGCAAUGCAGAUAUAGCUUGGGCACUCCUUGCACGAGGUUCACCCUGCUCGGGCCACUGAAUGUCUUCUACCUGGGCAACCAGUUAACUAUGCUACAGUAAGGACAACCAACUGGUGCACCCUGCAGUUUUCAAGCAAGACAGUGGUGGGAAAAGAAAACUGAGCUCCAAAGCCUACGUUUUGUAAUCUCUUCCUCCGCAGUGAACACGUCUAAUUCGGUCAUAGUAUCUCAGAAAGGCAGCAUGUCCAUUCAAGAAAACCAGCCGCAUCUGUGCCCUCGCGGUAUGAUGGAAAGACCAUAUAUCUACACAGCUAUCGUAGCCCAUGUUCGAAAAUUGUUGCCAGAGUAAUGCAGGAAUGCACUGCGUUGACUCUAAAUAUGACUCAUUGGAAAGUAAAAACGUAGCUUGAG